rnacentral:lncRNA from 1 species
GAUUUCCAGGGAACUAGCAUUUCCUCCGGACAGGCGGGAACUUGGGUGUACGGGCCCGGUGGUUCCUGGAGGUCGCCGUGGGAUGGGGUCGGUACCGGGACCUCCUUGGCGCUGUCCUCCCUCCUGUCCCUGCUGCUCUUCGCUGGCAUGCAGAUAUACAGCCGCCAGUUGGCCUCCACCGAGUGGCUCACCAUUCAGGGGGGCCUGCUGGGCUCCGGCCUUUUCGUCUUCUCCCUAACUGCCUUCAAUAAUCUGGAGAAUCUGGUCUUUGGUAAAGGCUUCCAAGCAAAAAUCUUCCCUGAGAUUCUCCUCUGCUUGCUGUUGGCACUCUUCGCAUCUGGCCUCAUCCACCGAGUCUGUGUCACCACUUGCUUCAUCUUCUCCAUGGUUGGUCUGUACUACAUCAACAAGAUAUCCUCCACUCUGUACCAGGCUACAGCUCCAGCCCUCACGCCGGCCAAAGUCACUGGCAAGAGCAAGAAGAGAAACUGACUGGGAAUGAGUAAUAAGAACGAGUAAUAAAGUUGCUUCUUUGU